CUUAUUUCUUCUACUUCUAUAUUUUCUUCUUUUUCCUCUAACUCUAUCUUCACCCAUUCUCAAUUUUUGUGAUUAAUUCAGCAAUUGGGCUAAGAACUUAGUUCCUUGAGCUGUGAUUUUGAGUGAGUUCAUUCCCAGGUUGAACUUCACUCAUUACAGAGUGGUGAGAGGUACAGGGUGAUGGAAGAGGCCGUGUCUGAGGUUGAGGUGGCUGUUGCGACGAGGCAUCUCCACGUGCAGUCAGUGAUUGGGUCUUGGUAUAACAUGGGAUUGACCAGGGAUUUGAGCCAAGCCAAUUUGUUCUUCUCUCACUCUUUUUGCAGCUGAGGAUGGGAAUUUGCAGUCCAAGAUGGCAUUGGCUUAUGCUUAUUACCGUCAAGAGGAAUCACAUGGUCUGCCUCUUGGCCCUGUCUUAUGCAGCUAAAGUCAAAGAAGCACUUGAUCCUUUUCUUUUGAAGUGUUUUGAACUACUGGUUUUUAUAUAGAAUCGAAUAGUAAUUAUUUUCUUUCUUUGGGAACAAUUUUAUUCCCUAUCCUUGCUUUAAGAGCCUUUCUUUUUACUAUAUCUUCAUUUAGGAGAGUCUUUAGAAGAUAACUACUGCUGCUCAAAUAUGUCAUAGAGUCGCUUUUACUUCUUUGUGGACAAAACAAGAGAAAAGCUUCUCACAUGAAGUUAAAAGAAAGUAGCUUAUACCUUGGCCAAACCUGUUACGAGUUCUAACAUUUUGAAGAGUCAAGGUAAAAGGCAAUGGCGGAUCUAUAACAAUUGCACAGUAUUCAUAGUUGGAUGAAGGUCAAUAUCAAUGCCAGCAUCGGCAUCCACUUACCAGACAAAAUGUUCGUGGUUUUACCAAAAGAAUAGGAAUAAGCAUGUACGUAGAGAUGUUAAAAUGAGCAACUUGUUAUUUGUGUUCAUAAUUAGCUGUA